GGGGUCUUGGCACAGUGGUAGCGCGCAUGCUUUGCAUCUUACCUUUGGACUUGUGUGCAUGAGGUCGUGAGUUCAAUCCUCACAGGCUCCA